AUGGACUCGUGCUCGCCAUCGCAGUCUGUCGCCCUGGCCACGGAGAGGGCCAAGAUCCAUGGAGCUGCUCGUGGGGUGAGCAUAUCGUCCUCGUGCUCCUCAAUUCUGCUGGGGUAUCGUUUGGGCCGGGUGGCAGAGAUGGCGAAUUCCUCCUCGGGUGUCUCAGGGCCAGAGCAAGUCGCCAGGACCGGAUCUGCACCGAUGGGGUAUAAAACCCAGGAUCAAGGGCAUGUAGCAUGUACUAUUCCUCGACCUCCACCUGCGAUUGCCACCGGCUUGUCCAUGGAGAACCUCAUGAGCAAGGGCAAGGGCGCCAUGAGUGAAAAGGAGGCCAUGGUCCCGACGCCCAGAGUGGGGGCCGUCGGGGAUGCUGCUGAUCCCAAGCUUCCUGCCAUCAUCUGCGGGCAGAUCAAGGAGGCUGUGGAACUAGACCUGUCUGCGGAGAAGGCGGCAAUGCGCACCCACUGGAUCGCAGUGGGCCUCUUCUUCUCGCCACAAGCCUUCGGCACUGAAGGUUUGUUCCGAGAGAUGAAGAGCAAGUGGGGCUUGAGGGGACGGCUGACCUACUCCCCACUCAAGAACAACCGCUACCUGAUGGAGUUUGAGCGGGAAGGAGAUCGCCGGCACAUCCUCAACAACGGCCCCUGGACUCACAAGGGAGAUGCUUUCCUGAUGGUGGUAGUGGAUGGUAGCCAGAGACCGGCUGAUGUUGAAGUCGCUCACAUGCCAAUAUGGGUACGUGUUCACGACACUCCUCCCAUCAUGAUGUCAGAAAGAGUUGCAUGGAAGGUGGGUGCAGAGCUAGGAGAGGUCCUGGCUGUGGACUGUGACAAGGAAGCAGCAAUGCGUGCCUCCCCUGCUAAGCAUAGCUCUAGUAGAAGGGGAUAUGUGGAUCCAAAUGUCAGCAGAACUCGCAGGUUCCUCCAAUUUGGGCAGGAGAUGUUCGGCAAGGAGGUGCAUGUCUACCCAAAGCAAGCCAAAGCAAGGCUCAUGGCGGUCCCUGAAGAAAUCAUGGCAAACCCAAUGGUGCAAGAGGCAAUAGCGGCGGUGAGUGCUCUGAAGGUUACUGAGGAAGGAGGCAGCGAUCAGCAGGGUAGGAAGGGGAACACAGCAGAGAAGCCAAUCCAGGAGACCGUCCCAGCUGAAUUAGCGGCACCAAACAAGCAGAUGCAGGUGGAUGGGAAGGAGGUGGAAGAGACAGCAGUGAAAACAGGACCUGGGAAGACGAUGUUGAACUCUGAACAGUUCGCCGCAGCAAAAGCUAAGGAUGACAAUGGCAGUGGACCACUCUUCCCUCCAGGCUUUGGCCCAUUACCUUAG
rnacentral:rRNA from 1 species